UAUUUUUUGGGUUAGUAAUAUAGUGGAAUGUUGAGAAAGAAAAGUCCCGACUUGAUCAGUUUCUGGGUCGAGUAGGCCACCGAACGACUUCUUCUCUUCUUCAACCGCCAAAAUCAGUAGAUCAAUAAAGGCCCAAUUCCAGAAAGCACAAUCAGCUGAUGAGUUUUUUACUUCUUCUCCAAGUUUUCUCUCUGUAUAUCCUUUUUGAAUACAAAAACCCUAAAUACAAAAGUAACUCAUUUCCUCCAUGGCUUUUAGGCUUGUCAAUUUUGCUCAUUCUGCCAUUAAACCUGCCAAGACCUCCUCAAUUUCAUCCCUCUCUCUCGGUCAAAUUCGUUCUCUUAUGGAUUUAUAUUGUGAUGAUCGCGAGCCACUCAAAAAAUUUGGUACUGACUUGACUGAACUCGCCAAAAAUGGUGAGCUCGAUCCUGUUAUUUGUCGGCUUAGUCAGAUUCGACGUUGUGAGCAGAUAUUAUGCAAGAGAAUGAAAAAUAACCCUGUUCUUAUUGGUGAGGCUGGUGUAGGAAAAACUGCAGUUGUUGAAGGGAUAGCUCAACGAAUUGUGAGUGGGGAUGUUCCACAGCCCCUGUUGAACCGGAAGGUGAUCUCAUUGAAUAUGUCUGCACUAUUAGCUGGAACGGCAAUGAUGGGAACAUUGGAGAAUAGAGUGGAAGCUAUACUGAAGGAGGUUUUUGAUGCAAAGGGGAAGAUAGUUUUAUUCAUUGAUGAGAUUCACACCAUUGUUGGUGCAGGGUCUACUAUAACAGAUAACAAGGAUGUUGCAAACCUUUUAAAACCAGUACUUGGCCGAGGUAAGCUCCGAUGCAUAGGAGCAACUACUUUGAAAGAGUACCGAAAAUAUAUUGAAAAGGACACUGCUCUUGAGCGUAGAUUCCAACAAGUUUUUUGUGAUCAGCCAUCUGUACAAGACACAAUCUCCAUUCUUCGCGGAUUGCGCAAACGGUAUGAGUCGCAUCAUGGUGUUAAAAUAUCAGACAAGGCUAUAGUUUCAGCUGCAGUACUUGCAGAUCGAUAUAUUACGGAGCGGUUUUUGCCUGAUAAAGCCAUUGAUCUUGUUGAUGAAGCUGCUUCCAAGCUGAAAAUGGAGACCACUAAGCCUAUGGAGUUGGAUGAGAUAAAUGCAGCCGUGUUCAAUUUGGAGAUGGAAAAGCAAUCUUUAGAUAAUGACAUUUUUAAAGCUCCCAAAGAAAGAUUAGACAACUUGGAAUAUAAUCUAAGUGUACUUCAAAAGAGACGGGAAGGACUAAUGGAGAAGUGGGAGCAUGAGAAGGCUAUUCUUGAGAAACUACGUUCAACUAAACAGUUGAUUGAAAGAGUUAAAAAAGAUAUGGAAGCCCUAGAGCAUGAUGAUCCGCUCAAAUAUGAAGAACUAAAUAGUUAUGUGGAGUCUCUUCAGAGCAAGCGUGAAGAGGAUAGGAAGAGUUUUAUGGAAUCACAAAUUUCUGGAAAUUGUUUGCUUCGAUUUGUAGUCACUGACCAUGAGAUUCAAGAGGCUGUAGGUGAAUGGACAGGUAUACCAUUAUCGAACAUAUCACAGUCAGACAUGGAGAAGCUAGUCACGAUUGAAGAGGUUCUCCACCAAAAGGUUAUUGGUCAGGAUGUUGCAGUUAAAUCAGUUGCCGAUGCAAUUCGGCGUUCAAGGGCAGGAUUGUCUGACCCCAAAAGGCCAAUAGCAAGCUUAAUGUUCAUGGGCCCUACUGGUGUUGGUAAGACUGAGCUGGCUAAUGCAUUAGCUAGUUACCUCUUUGGCACGGAAAAAGCUCUUGUGAGAAUCGACAUGAGUGAGUACAUGGAAAGGUCUGCAGUUUCCCGCUUGAUUGGUGCGUCUCCUGGACUUGUUGGUCCUGAGGAGGGACAGCUUACUGAACCAGUUCUUCGGAGACCUUAUUCUGUUAUUCUAUUCGAUGAGAUUGAAAAGGCACAUAGUGAUGUGCUCAAUAUUUUGUUACAGCUUUUGGGUGAUGGGAGGGUAACUGAUUCUAGUGGGAGGACCGUUAGUUUUAAAAACUGUGUGGUGCUAAUGACAUCAAAUAUUGGGUCCCAGGAUAUCCUAAGAAUUCUUAAAAAUAACGACGACGGCAAGGAAAAAAUUUAUGAUACAAUGAAAAGACAGACUAUGGAGUUGGCUAGAGAAACUUUUAGUCCUGAAUUCAUGAAUCACGUUGACGAGUUUAUUGUUUUCCAGCCGCUGAAUACAGAGGAAAUUGCUAGAAUUGUUGACAUACAGAUGAACUGCUUGAAAGAUAGACUCAAUGAAAGGAAAAUUGAUCUCCACUACACAAGGGAAGCUGUCGAUCUUAUUUUAACACUGGGCUUUGAUCGAAACUUUGGUGCCAGACCAGUGAAAAGGGUGAUACAACAGAUGGUUGAGAAUGAAAUUGCAAUAAGAGUCCUCAAAGGUGAUUUUAAGGAAGAUGACUCGAUUCUUGUUGAUGCUGACAUGUCCCCAUUAGCAAAUGACCUUCCUCCCAGCAGUAGACUGCUUAUCAAGAAAUCGGAGAUUGAAAUGGUGGCAAAGCAAGCAGAAGCCUGAACAUGAUUGGCGGUUUUAAGUGUUUUGAAAUGCCAGUUUUUUUUUUUUUUUUGGCUUAUAGAGGGAUUCAGGAGGCAUCUGAAUGAUCGGCGCUGUAACUUACUACGUAUGAUUCUACAACACAAAGGUGGCUUCUUCUUCUUCUCCUUAUGUCCUUGUGAAGAAAUCUGGAGAGCAUUACCAAAAUUGUUGCACUAUUAAUCUAUUGUUGUUGGUUUUGCAUUUGAAUGAACGAAAGAAAAGCCUGGAAAGAUACUUUACUAGAAAACUGAUUGGAAAAUCAAUAGGUUUGAAAAGAAUAGUGCAAAUUCAUCCCAUGACUACCUACAAUGAGCAGUAAAAAGAUAUUGUUCCCUUCUGAAGUGGAAACAAAAAUCUAAUCUCAAUAUUUAAUUAGGGAGGCCGAAUUAUAAUUUUUUUAUUUUUUUCGCAUAUUGAAACUUUUCAGCCUUGGAGCAUUUGGUUUUUGAAAGUAAUGGCAUAUUGAUAGUCAUUUUCUCUUCUUUCACCUGGCUAGUGAUAGGUAUAUGGUAAGAGCAGUAUCUCAAGUCCAGUAAGUUUUUUUAGUUUUUGUA